rnacentral:rRNA from 1 species
GAUGAACGCUGGCGGCGUGCCUAAUACAUGCAAGUCGAGCGAACAGACGAGGAGCUUGCUCCUCUGACGUUAGCGGCGGACGGGUGAGUAACACGUGGAUAACCUACCUAUAAGACUGGGAUAACUUCGGGAAACCGGAGCUAAUACCGGAUAACAUGUUGAACCGCAUGGUUCAACAGUGAAAGACGGUCUUGCUGGCACUUAUAGAUGGAUCCGCGCCGCAUUAGCUAGUUGGUAAGGUAACGGCUUACCAAGGCAACGAUGCGUAGCCGACCUGAGAGGGUGAUCGGCCACACUGGAACUGAGACACGGUCCAGACUCCUACGGGAGGCAGCAGUAUGGAAUCUUCCGCAAUGGGCGAAAGCCUGACGGAGCAACGCCGCGUGAGUGAAGAAGGUCUUCGGAUCGUAAAACUCUGUUAUUAGGGAAGAACAAAUGUGUAAGUAACUAUGCACGUCUUGACGGUACCUAAUCAGAAAGCCACGGCUAACUACGUG